AUCACUGGUGGUUGCUUAAAGAGGAAAGGGAAGCUUGCAGAGGUUAAGGAAAUACCCAGGCCUCUGAAGGAGGAUGGAGAGGCAUCAAGGGAGGCAGCUAUUCCUUACAGUGCAGUGCUGAGUUCCGAAGGAAGACACUAUCUUUCUUAAGAAAACUUGUCUGCUAAGGAGGUGAGUUUAGUGAGAGGCCUCAGGUAAGUAGAGGGAGAAGAGCUCCUGAAGAAAAUCAAACUAAGAACUGUUCAGGAAAAAAAAACAUUUUUUUUCUAUUUAUGAAAACAUUGUGUUGAGUAGGGGUCUGUACAUCUAUAAUGUCAGCAUGGGGGACAUUGAGGCAGGAUGACCAAGAGUUAAAGGCCAGCCUGGGAUACCUAUACCUAUUUGUCAAAGAAUAAAAAGAAGAGAAAAAUAGAAAAUAAAAACAAAAACCCAAGAACAAUACAAUCGAAACCAGUUUCUUGCCACCUCUACCUGGGUAGAAACAGAAAGACCAUAGAGAACCUAACCUGAAAUUCCAAAUUCAAACAUGGAAGGGCGAGGGUCAAGGUCUGCUUUCAUGACUGAUGGCUACACAACAUGGUCAGUCAUAAUGAGGAGCUGAGUAUGUAAGGCAGAAAACUUUCAGACACUCAGGAGUUACGUGUGUCCUCUACCCAGGGCUGUCAUCCUAUUGCUAGUGAAACAGGGGUACCAUGUGUCUUCCAAGGCAAGUGGAUAAAGGAGUUUAACUGCAUGACAUGAAGGGAAAAGGAUUGUGUCUGUGUGGAGUUGGCCACAUGGUCUAAGGGAGAAGCUUGCUGGGAGAGAAGAAACACUGGUCCCUGGGUGACAGCAAGUGAUACAGGGAUUUUUUUUUCAUGGUCAACACAGCAUCUUCCCAGAGCAGAGAUGGACCAUGCAUUGGCUGCCUUAUUUUCUCAUGGGAGGAGAUGAUUAUCACUGAGAGAAAGGAUGGAUGUCUAGAAGCUGAGGAAGACAUCCUGAGAUGGUCAUGGAUAAAGUGAUACACUCAAUUCCACAUAGGAGGAAGAGAUUUCCCCGACUCUGUAAUCCCAAAGACAAUAGUAGUAUAAUCGAGUUCUGUCUGCUCAUGUUUUAUUAGCAUAUGUUGGUGAUAAUUAUACAUAAUAGGUUUCAUUAUGACAUUUUCAUACAUUUACAUACUAUAUCUUGUUCAUACCUCCCCUGGAUAUCUCUCUCUCCCUCCCCCCUCUCCCCCUUUUCGCCUCCCAUUAGUCAAAUUCCUCACCCCGUCUCACCUUCCUUCUGCUUUCUUAUCCUCUUUUUAGAGGACCUAGGCACCUCAACAAUGACCAUAACUAAGGAAGAUCUCCCCCUUCUCCAUCAAACUUUACCUGUGUACAGAAGGACUGGGACCCCUUGAGCCCCUUCUGCUUCUAUGACAUGGUGUUGACAAGCUCAGUGUUGUAGAGAUGUCAAUUAAGCAGGCUAUCCUAGCUGCUGUGAGUUUGAGUGAAUGACAGCCAAGUCAUUCUUGGAAGACGCCAUUCCUCACUACCCACCCCCACUCCUCUUCUUCCAUUCAUUCCAUUUCGUGAUGUUCUCUGAGCCUUGGGUUGAACGAUAUGGAUUUACAGCCGAGAGUUCAACAUUUGUUCUCUGUACUUUAACCAAUGAUGAAUCUCUCCAGUCACUGCCGAUCACUGCAAGAACGGUUUCUCUCAUCAACCUCUCAGCACAUAAUCCUGUGGUGUACGUGUAGCCGAACUCCUUCAGCGGACCUGGACAAGACACUCCCUUCUUCAUUCCAUCCCAUUGCAAGAUAUUGGAAGUGGCUAGAGAAGGCGUUCAAGGCAGAGCCACAAAAAAGAGCCAUAGCCCGUGCAGUUCUGCGUCUCAGCCUACAAGAUGCCAUCAUGGCCAUAAGCCUCCAAGCCAGUGCAAAGCAGAGCAGACCAUAGAAGAAAUGCUUUAACUCCAGAAACCAUCUGUGGGAUUAUUACUAUCUCUUUGUAUUGAGUACAUUACCCGCAGAACUAAGACUAUUGCUUUGAGUGAGGUAACAGAGGAAAAUUCUAGAAUUUAAAAUGAUCAGAAGAGGAGCAGAAAUAGCACAAGGCUUGUGGGAGAUUCCGACCCACUGAGAGGCAGAGCCCCGCGGAGUGUAGACAGACGCUGAAGGAGAGGAGACAGGAAGAGACUGGGCAAGAACAGAGUCAGUCGGUGGAGACUUCUUCCUAACCCGUCCGUCAUCCACAGAUUCUCAACAAGGGCUUUUCUGCUGUCCAUACAAUGAACACCAAGUCUGAGAAGCUCCAUUCACAAUUACAUCUUCCCAAGUUUUUCUUUGAUCGGGCUGCUGCUUAGCUAACAUUUUCAUUCACGAUUAACUUUAAAACCUAAUAAUUUUGCAAUUAUGGCAUCUGGUAAUCAGAGAGAAGAGAAUUGAAACUGAAUGGUGAGACACAAACAAA